AUUGAACGCUGGCGGCAGGCCUACCACAUGCAAGUCGAACGGUAACAGGAAGCAGCUUGCUGCUUUGCUGACGAGUGGCGGACGGGUGAGUAAUGUCUGGGAAACUGCCUGAUGGAGGGGGAUAACUACUGGAAACGGUAGCUAAUACCGCAUAACGUCGCAAGACCAAAGAGGGGGACCUUAGGGCCUCUUGCCAUCGGAUGUGCCCAGAUGGGAUUAGCUAGUAGGUGGGGUAACGGCUCACCUAGGCGACGAUCCCUAGCUGGUCUGAGAGGAUGACCAGCCACACUGGAACUGAGACACGGUCCAGACUCCUACGGGAGGCAGCAGUGGGGAAUAUUGCACAAUGGGCGCAAGCCUGAUGCAGCCAUGCCGCGUGUAUGAAGAAGGCCUUCGGGUUGUAAAGUACUUUCAGCGGGGAGGAAGGGAGUAAAGUUAAUACCUUUGCUCAUUGACGUUACCCGCAGAAGAAGCACCGGCUAACUCCGUG
rnacentral:rRNA from 1 species